rnacentral:rRNA from 1 species
UACGUAGGGUGCAAGCGUUAUCCGGAAUUAUUGGGCGUAAAGAGCUCGUAGGCGGUUUGUCGCGUCUGCUGUGAAAACUGGAGGCUCAACCUCCAGCCUGCAGUGGGUACGGGCAAACUAGAGUGCGGUAGGGGAGACUGGAAUUCCUGGUGUAGCGGUGAAAUGCGCAGAUAUCAGGAGGAACACCGAUGGCGAAGGCAGGUCUCUGGGCAUUAACUGACGCUGAGGAGCGAAGGCCAGGGGAGCAAACGGG